rnacentral:lncRNA from 1 species
AGAGUAUUGGGUUCCAGCCCUUAACCUCCUUUAAGAUUCAGGAGUGCAGCCCUGCUGCUUCCUUCCUUUCCUAGACGCAGGGGUCCCCACCCAGGAUGCCCUCCUCCUCAGGACCCAGGAGUCCCAGAUAGCAGGUCCCUCCCCCCCCCACCCGGGAUAGAGGAGUUGAGGCCCUCAGCCCCUGUCUCUCACACCAGGGUUCUGGGUCCCCGGCUUCCUCCUCCCUCAGAAUAAGGUGUCCGGGUCUGCAGCCCUUGCCUCUGCAGCCCCUGGGCUCCAGAAGUUAUGACCCAAGCCUACUCCUAUCCCACCUCCGUCGGGCCCUUUCCCUGCUGAACUCACUCACAGGGACAGCCUCCUGACCUCCACUCUGAGCCUGCCCUCUGUGGGGCCCCUGCCCUCCCCCACCUCCAUCCAGGUCCCCAUCCCGGCCUUGGCAAUGACCCUGGCAGCUUCCUCCCAGCGUUCCCAAUUCAUUCGCUCCAAGUUCCGAUCUGUCCUCCAGCUUCGGAUCCACAGACGGAAUCAGGAGCAGAUCUCGGAUCCUGACCCGUGGAUCUCAGCCUCCAGCCCUGCUCUAGCCCCGGCCUUGCCCUCGGGCACGGCCCCUUUCCUCUUCAGCCCUGGGGUCCUGCUCCCUGAGCCCGAAUCCUGUCCUCCUUGGAGAUCCCCGAAGAAGGUGAGUCUGGACUGGAGGGAGAGGUCCCUCUGUUCCGCUUGCUACUGCUGCCAUUUU